AUUUUAAUCGGCGCCAUUUUGAAUUUAAAUCGAGAGUGUGAAUCUGACUGAUAUUUUCAGCAAAUAAAGCCGUUAAUUGAUGGUAUUGAAGACCGAGAAGUUAUUAGCGACAUGAGAAAUGCCUCGUCUCAAACGUAGAAGUGGUUCCAUUUGUCAAAGGAAAAAAUAUAGACUUAACUGCCUUCAGCAGGAUGAAAGUCAGCUUUGCUGCUCAAGUGUUCAGUGCAACUAUUGCAAAUUCACUUGAAAUGCUAUAUGACGAAUCAGUGGAGGAGACGGUGAAGUUUGUUCGAACCAUGAACACAUUUUUUGACUGCUUAAAUGUUAGAAACCCCUAUGAGGGAAGGAACAAACGAAAUCCAGAUUUGAAUGCGUAUACAAAUCCAGAAGAUGAAAGAUUGCAUUGGCUAGUAAAUGAUUUCUUAGAGUAUUUUGCACAAUGGAAACAAACUGUGGAUGACAGAGGAGAGUUCAGUGAAGCCCAGAAAGCUACAAUGCAACUUAGUCAUCAAACACUGACCGGCCUGAAAAUGUCUGCACUCUCUAUCACUGCCUGUGUCAGGUUUAUGUUGGAAAGAGGUUCCCAGUACAUCUUAACCAGUUUUUUUAAUCAGGAUCCUCUGGAACAACAUUUUGGACAUUACAGACAUAAAGUUGGAAGUAACAAUAAUCCUACAGUGUAUGAAGUGAAAAACAUUCUGACCCAGAUAAGAACUGUUGGCGCACAAGCACUGCCCUCAGCCCGUGGAAACUGCAAGAGAGACGAAAACAGACGACCUCGAACACUGGACCACACUCCAGUUCCAAGGAGAAAACCAAAGAAAUAAAUUCUUUUCUGACAUUUAGUGACAUGGAUUAAUGUAACAUUUGCCAUCUAGUCACAUUUUAAAGUGUUAAAGUUUUGUGUGUACUUUGUGUUCAUGCUUUUCAUGUGUUUAGUAAUUAGUUCAUCGAUUACUUUUUCAUUUGGAACCUGACUUGUUUUUUUGUUGAAUAAAUGUGUGCAUUUAU
rnacentral:misc_RNA from 1 species